GAGUGAAGCGGCAAGAGCUCAAAUUUGAAAUCUGGCUCCUCCGGGGUCCGAGUUGUAAUUUGCAGAGGAUGCUUCGGGUGCGGUCCCCGUCUAAGUACCCUGGAAUGGGUCGUCAUAGAGGGUGAGAAUCCCGUCUGGGACGGGUGGCCGUGUCCGUGUGAAGCUCCUUCGACGAGUCGAGUUGUUUGGGAAUGCAGCUCUAAAUGGGUGGUAAAUUUCAUCUAAAGCUAAAUAUUGGCCGGAGACCGAUAGCGCACAAGUAGAGUGAUCGAAAGAUGAAAAGCACUUUGAAAAGAGAGUUAAACAGCACGUGAAAUUGUUGAAAGGGAAGCGCUUGCGACCAGACUCGCCCGCGGGGGUUCAGCCGGUACUCGUACCGGUGUACUCCCCCGUGGGCGGGCCAGCGUCGGUUUGGGCGGCCGGUCAAAGGCCUCCGGAAUGUAUCGCCCUUCGGGGCGUCUUAUAGCCGGGGGUGCAAUGCGGCCAGCCUGGACCGAGGAACGCGCUUCGGCUCGGACGC
rnacentral:rRNA from 1 species